rnacentral:rRNA from 1 species
CUCACCACGGUCGUGCAGCCGCUGUCAUGCGGAUGACCCAAGCGUUAUUCGGAAUUACUGGGGGUAAAGAUUUGCGUAGGGUGCGUAGUAAGCGAGUAGGUAAAGCGUGUGGCUCAACCAUACAUCCAUUACUUGAACUGCUAAGCUAGAAGAUGAGGGAGGUAGAUGGAAUUCCUGAUGUAGGGGUAAUAUCCGUAGAUAUUAGGAGGAACACCGAUGGCGUAGGCAGUCUACUGGCUCAUUCUUGACACUAAGGCACGAAAGCGUGGGGAGCAAACAGGAUUAGAUACCCUUGUAGUC